UACGAAGGGGGCUAGCGUUGCUCGGAAUCACUGGGCGUAAAGGGUGCGUAGGCGGGUCUUUAAGUCAGGGGGGAAAUCCUGGAGCUCAACUCCAGAACUGCCUUUGAUACUGAAGAUCUUGAGUUCGGGAGAGGUGAGUGGAACUGCGAGUGUAGAGGUGAAAUUCGUAGAUAUUCGCAAGAACACCAGUGGCGAAGGCGGCUCACUGGCCCGGAACUGACGCUGAGGUGCGAAAGCGUGGGGAGCAAACAGG
rnacentral:rRNA from 1 species